rnacentral:lncRNA from 1 species
AAGAAAUCAUGUGUUUUGAGGUUUGAUUCUAUGUAAAUAAUGUUAUUUUGACGAUUUGAUCGCACGAGUAAGUCUGUAGGAUGUUUUUGAGGUUUUGUGCAUGUUUGGGUCGGAGCCCUGAGGGCUCGGGUGAGUUUUGGGUAGGUGUUGAGUCCAUUUUUGCAUAUAGGAUCUAUGCUUCAGGUGUCACAGACCUGCAACAAUUGCGAAGCCUGGUUCGCGAAGAGGGUCAGUUGCCUGCUAAACUCGCAAUUGCGAGGUUCUCUUCGC